UUAGUUAGACUUACAACGUGGAGAGCUGAGUUCAGGGAUAUUCUUGGCCACAAGGCUUAUUGUGUGUCCCUGGGUACUGAGGCUAGCCUACCUCACUGGGAAAUUGUGAGGAUAAAACAGGGAAGGAUAUAUAUGCAGCCUUGAGCUCCUUGGAGGAAUGGGGCAAAGGGCAAAUAGAUACAUAAAUCAAAGGGUAAAAAUUUAGCCAUCCCUUGAUUAAAAUUAAGCAAUGCCAAUGAGUGUUCAAGGGAAAAAAAAAACACAGGCACAAACUGCCAACAAGCCAUCUUCUACCCUAAAAGAGGGUAGCCUAAAUAAGAACAGAAAUAUUUAGUAGGUGCUUUUUAACAGGCCUCUAAAUUGUAGGUUCCAGGGAAAGAAUUUGUUGGACAAAAAGACAGUGGGUCCCCUGGGUUCCAUGCGCCAAAAUGAAUACUUGAGCCCUGCCAAGAGUGGGCUGUGUUUUGAUAUAUGUUUCUUUCUCGUUUUUUUUCCCCCUUCUCUCUCUCAAUCUCUCUUUCAGAGCUACUUUAGCAGCACUUUCUCUGGAACACUUUUCAAGUUCUGUAUUUAAUGGAAGUCAAAAACAAAAAACAACACCACACACACAUAACAAAAAAAAAAUCCUGAUCUUUUUGUUUGUUCGCUUGUUUCUCGGUUGGUUCAUUUGCUUUUAUUUUUUUCUAAGAAAACAAAACAAAAGAGAAAAAGAAAGAAAGAAAGGAGGGGAAAGGAGACAGAGGUGAACACCCCCCCUUCUUUAAAAACAAAGAAAGAAGGAAAAGGAGAAAAAGAAAAUAUUAUGAAAAAUCAAUAAACUUGCUUUCUUUGAUAACGGCACGGGGGCAGUUUUGAAGCAGACUGUCGGGAAGCGAGCUCUCAACCUACAGCCCAGCAAAAAGACAAUCAAAAACACUUGCAGCCUCCCAGGUCGAGUGGCAGAGCGGGGGCCGCAUGCCUCCCACCACCCGCCCACAGCAUGCAGACAAGAAACACUCUGGAAGGCGACGGACAGAAACCAAGGACAGCCAGAGGGAAGGGGACAUUUAUUUUUGCUUUUUUGGGCGGGGGGAAGGUGUUGGGGAGGGAAGACAGGCUGAUCUGUGAACGCCAAUGAAAACCCAUCAAGGAAGACUGAAGAUUUGGCAUUCUCUUCCUCCUCCCCCCCUCCUCCUCCUCUCCCUUAUUUUCCCCUCCUUUUCUGCAGAUUUCUUUCAUUUUUUUUCCUCCCAGUGGUUGGUUGGUUGGUUGGUUUGCAAUUUUUUUUUAAAAAAAGAGAAAAACUUUGUUGCUUAAUUUCUUUGGGGAGCCCAGAAGAUUUUACAAGUCUGUGAAUCAAUCUUGGAGACCACCACCAUCUCCCAUUUCUGUUACCAAAAGGAAGAAGAUCCCUGCCCACUAACCACACUUGUUAUAAGCUUGCAACGGACCGGCUCCUUUUGAUACUGCUUCUUUGCUGGAGUGGGGUGUGAGAAAAAGGGAGAACUGUCUGCCAAGACUGACCGAGAGAGUUCAGCCAGACCGAAGACUUGCAUCGCCUUUGGUGCGCUCUCCCGCGCUCUCUGUAUGUCUCCGGCCCCUCUGUCACUGCCGCUCUCUGCCCCCUUCGUUCCGGAUCUGACCGUGAGAGAAGCUCGAGUCUUCUCCAUCAAGAAGCAAGGAGGGGGGGGGCGGGUUGGGGGAACGGGCCUUUUCUAUCUGCACAAAACCAGCAAUUGUAAAUACUUUUCGAAAAUGUAAAAAAAGAAAACUUACAAAACAGCAAACACAAUGAAGAUGUAUACUCCCAUACACACACAAACACACACACACACACGUGUGUCUUUUUUGUCUUCAACAUCCCAAAUGUUUUGAAGACAAAAAAAGAAAAAAAAAAGGAGGCCAGAGAGUCAAAGCAGGAGAGAAGCUAAUUGCGUCGGAUAUGCACUGAGAAAUCUAUUUGCAGAUUGACAAAAAGUAACAAGAACCUAUUUAUUGUAUAUAAUGUUUUAUUAUAAAUCGUGAAUUGUAUAUUGCAUCUGUACAUCUGCUGUGGUUUUGUGAUGUGCAAAUUUCAGCAUGGGUUUCAUUGAGGUUUUAAGUUGCUUUUUUUAAAUUGUUUGGGGGAGUUUUUUUAAUGUUUGUUUUUGUUUUUUGGCAGGACACACCCAAAGACCCAAGUUUGUAUUAAAAACUAGGGAAAAAAUAGACAAGCUAAUACACCCUUUGCCCGGGAGGGAGGGAGGGAGCGAAGUGUUCUGAGUUCUCAUUGGCCACCUGUAAGCCCAAAUGAGUGUUCCUUCUUCCGUGCGCGCCCCUUUAUGCCAGUGCUGAGCUCAGGGUGUGUGCGUGCGCGUGCACGCGCGCGCGCGACUCCCCCCCGCCCGUUUUUUGUCCUGCUCUCUAUUCCCUCCUUUUCCUGUUUUGGAAACUUCCGUACAGCUUUGUGGAUCGUGCAGAAAAAAAACAAAAAGGAAAAAAAAAAGCCCCAUCCUGUGUUGUCCGUUUCUGAUCUGAACUGUGCGUCUAAAUAUACCAGCCUUGGUAGUUGCUUGGAGACGAACACAUUCAAAUCCUCCGGAUUGGCACCAUCUGAGCUGCUGCUUGCUUGAUUCCUCUCCCUGGCCAAAAAUCGUCUUCGUCCACCCCCCGAACCCCCCCUUUUUUUCUUUUGCUUUUCCCUCUCCCGCACCCGAAUUGGUCUUUUUGUGUAUUUAGGAAGGAAUUUUUAAUAGACACUUUUUAUAUUAAAAGAAACCUAUAUAUUGAGUGA